GCCGGAGCAUCUAAGUGCGUCAGUUGUGGAGAUACGUAGGCGAGUUAAGUCCUGGUCUGCGGGGAGGCAGACGGCUCCGUCGCAGACUACGGACCUCUUUGGGUCUCAGCUGCCAAAGAUCCUGUCCGGUAGGUGAGUGGCUCACUUUGAGGGAAAGCCUUCUCGGAUCGAGGCUUCUUCAUGGCCGCUCAGAUCGCGAGUGGUCAGGGCUGCUCUCUGUGCGGAGGACGGCGUCCACUGAGCGCAGUUUACUCGAGGUGGGCGCUGGGGCACGUCUCCCUUUGGGUAUUGUUUGAGGGGACCUGACGGGGGAAGGGCGGUCGUGGUCCUGGUUAUGGUGGUUUUUACACGGAGGGGUCGUGUGCCCCUCCCUGCCUCCUUAUUUCACUGCCCGAACCCCGCGAGGAGUGGGCCGAUACCUUUGUUCGGGGUGUGGCCGGGGCUGUCCGAGGGCGGGUACAAUGACCCCGGCACAGUGGGUUCGGGGCAGGGGAGGGACCAGGGAGCUUGGCACGCGCGGCUCCCCACCGCUGGCUCCGAGGCGGCCAUUUUGAGGCUGUUUCGCGGCCGCCCGCCGCCGUCUGCGCAGGCGCGGCGGUGGCGUCGCGAGAUCCGGCUUCCACCCGCUGUGACGCUCCCGGGAGGCGGCGACGCGCGCGGCCCGUCGUCAUUGGGCUGGCCUUGCGGAGGGCGGGGUCGGCUCCGCCCGCACUUCUCGGCCUUUCCUAACUGCGGCAGAUGGGAGGGGGCCAGAAGAGCCAGGGAGAGUGUGCGGCUGCGCAGUUCCGGAGGCGGCAGUGGGCGUUGCGGUUGCUGCGGUCUGGGCCCAGGGAAGGAUCGUGUUGGGAGCCGAGUUUUAAUUUUGUCUGCAAGGGACCUGGCCUAAUAAGAGGCACUCUUGGCAAUCUUGUUUAUAACAUCACCGGGAAGUACUAGCCGCACAUCAUGAGUGGCUGUCGAGUAUUCAUCGGGAGGCUAAAUCCAGCGGCCAGGGAGAAAGACGUGGAAAGGUUCUUCAAGGGGUAUGGACGAAUAAGAGAUAUUGAUCUGAAAAGAGGCUUUGGUUUUGUGGUAUUUAGUGCUUUUGAUGUGUUGUAGAAUACACUUUUUAAAGCCAUGUUAAACAUAUUUUUUUCACGUUUGAAUUUGAGGAAUUUGAGGAUCCCAGGGAUGCAGAUGAUGCUGUAUAUGAACUUGAUGGAAAAGAACUCUGCAGUGAAAGGGUUACAAUUGAACAUGCUAGGGCUCGAUCUCGAGGUGGAAGAGGUAGAGGACGCUACUCAGACCGUUUUAGUAGUCGCAGACCUCGAAAUGAUAGACGAAAUGCUCCACCUGUAAGAACAGAAAAUCGGCUUAUAGUUGAGAAUUUAUCUUCAAGAGUCAGCUGGCAGGUUUGUUGAAAUACAGUUUUGAGAUAUUUUAAUGUGGCUUUUUAAAUAUUAAUGGGUGGCUGAUAAUUUUAUUAAUGUUUUAUUAAAAGUAGUUUUUUUAAUCUUUAAUUAAAUUAAUGGAUUUAAUUGUAAUUUAAAAUUUUUUAAUUAAAUGUAAUUGGGGGUUGUUUCAAACUUUUAAUAAUUAGUGAUCAAAUGUUGUAAAUGUUUUGAGGAUAUUUCUCUUGUUUUUUAAAAUCAAUUUUAACCAAAUAUUAAACCCUUUAUUUGCCAGCCUAUCUGUGUCGUUGGCCUUAUGACGAGGAGUGCCUGUGGGUUAUCCUAAUCGUUGUCUUGGUCACUCUUGGUUGGGCCUGGUUGACUUUGCCAGUCAGCUCCUACAGUGAUCAAUUGGCCACCUCUAGAUCUGUGUUUGCCGGUCUAGACGUAAUCGGUGCACUUAUUGAAGUGCCAGGUUGCAGCGAUCCCAGAGCGUUGAUAACGUGAUCUGAUCCCUAAGUUGAGAGCUGUCUUCCUGUAACGCUUCCGAAUAAGAGGUCCUGGUCGAAAAAACGAAAUUAGGUGGUCGUUGGAAUCCUGAUCGCAGUAAAGUGGUCCUUGGUAACUGCUCAAGAGUAGAACAUGUCUGCAUCCGCCUGUAGUCUGCUAAUAGGGAGGGCUGUGCGAUUAAAGGCUUCCAUCGAUUGGGUAGUGUCCUUCAAGUGGGUGGCGAAGAGCCAGUCGGGCAUAUGUCAUGAACGUUUCUCCGACCGCUUAAUGGUUUGCUGCUUGACUAGCCUAGGGAAAUAAUAAUAAAGGUAAAGUAAACUUUUUUAAUGACAUAUGGGGCACAAAAUAACUGGUGUCUUGUUAAUGUUCUGUUUUUAAAUAUAAAAUUUCUGCUUUAGUCUUUACUUUAAAAAUAUGUACUGUUUCUUUUUGUUUUGUUCUUUUUUGUUUUGUUUUGUUUUUUCCUUUUGUAUUGAGCUCAGUAUAGACUAAUACUAUUUUAAUGUUAAAAUCUGAAUUCUCUGGCAUUUUGCUUAAAAGCAAUAUGCUAUUUGCUUAUUUCGUGCCCUGACAUAUUAUUUUUGAAUUCUGAUAGAAUACAAGUGUGGUAAAUACCAUGUUUGUACUUUAUCUAACAUCUUCUCUUUCAGUAGUCUUGUUUUUAUACCUUGUGGUUGUUUGUGUGUCACGAUUCCUUUUCCUGGCUUAACAAAAUUGUCUUAUGUUAAGGAUCUCAAAGAUUUCAUGAGACAAGCUGGGGAAGUAACAUUUGCGGAUGCACAUAGACCUAAGUUAAAUGAAGGGGUAGUUGAGUUUGCCUCUUAUGGUGAUUUAAAGAAUGCUAUUGAAAAACUUUCUGGAAAAGAAAUAAAUGGGAGAAAAAUCAAAUUAAUUGAAGGCAGCAAAAGGCACAGUAGGUCACGAAGCAGGUCUCGUUCUCGGACCAGGAGUUCCUCAAGGUCUCGUAGCCGAUCUCGUUCCCGGAGGAGCAAGUCUUACAGCCGGUCUAGGAGCCGGAGCCGGAGCCGGAGCAAGUCCCGUUCUGUUAGUAGGUCUCCUGUGCCUGAGAAGAGCCAGAAACGUGGUUCUUCAAGUAGAUCUAAGUCUCCAGCAUCUGUAGAUCGCCAGAGGUCCAGGUCCCGGUCCCGGUCAAGGUCCAGAUCAGUUGACAGUGGCAAUUAAACUGUAAAUAACUUGCCCUGGGGGCCUUUUUUUUUUAUAAAACAAAAACAAAAAACAAAUUCCCAAACCAUACUUGCUAAAAACUCUGGUAAGUAUGUGCUUUUCUGUGGGGGUGGGAUUUGGAGGGGGGUUGGGUUGGGCUGGGCUGGGCUGGCUAUCUUUGUAGAUGUGGACCACCAAGGGGUUGUUGAAAACUUAAUUGUAUUAAAUGUCUUUUGAUAAGCCUUCUGCUCACAUUUUUGUGAAUGUCUGAAGUAUAUAUAGUUUGUGUAUAUUCACAGAGCUCUUUUAUAACUAAAGCAAAUUUAAUUUUUUUGUACUAGAAAAAAUUUGAACGUUUUAGUUCCUGGUUAUUCAAAUAUGUUAAGAUUUAGUUUAAAGACUAAUUAAUAGCUUUGGACACUUAAAAGAGCUCUAAAUUUGCUUGUACAUAAAGGCUUAAUUUGAGUUUUCCUUGUUAGGGUCAAGGGUGUCCAUCCACCCUUUAACAGCUGCCUAGCAAAGUCGUUAAAGGCAGCUGUUUGUUAUUGAUAAUAAAAGAUUCUAAAAAUUG